GACGAGCGCUGGCGGCGUGCUUAACACAUGCAAGUCGAACGGUAAGGCCCUUCGGGGUACACGAGUGGCGAACGGGUGAGUAACACGUGGGUGAUCUGCCCUGCACUUCGGGAUAAGCCUGGGAAACUGGGUCUAAUACCGGAUAGGACUCCUGGCUUCAUGGUUGGGGGUGGAAAGCUUUUGCGGUGUGGGAUGGGCACGCGGCCUAUCAGCUUGUUGGUGGGGUAAUGGCCUACCAAGGCGACGACGGGUAGCCGGCCUGAGAGGGUGACCGGUAACACUGGGACUGGGAUACCGCCCAGACUCCUACGGGAGGCAGCAGUGGGGAAUAUUGCACGAUGGGCGCAAGCCUGAUGCAGCGACGCCGCGUGAGGGAUGACGGCCUUCGGGUUGUAAACCUCUUUCAGCUAUGACGAAGCGCAAGUGACGGUAGUAGCAGAAGAAGGACCGGCCAACUACGUGCCAGCCGCCGCAGUAA
rnacentral:rRNA from 1 species